rnacentral:rRNA from 1 species
AGUCGAACGCAGUAGCAAUACUGAGUGGCAAACGGGUGAGUAUAAUGUGGGAAUCUGCCUUUUGGUUUGGAAUAACACGGGGAAACUUGUGCUAAUACCGAAUAAGCCCUUACGGGGAAAGUUUUAAUGCCGAAAGAUGAGCCCGCACUUGAUUAGCUAGUUGGUAAGGUAAAAGCUUACCAAGGCAACGAUCAAUAGCUGUUCUUAGAGGAAGACCAGCCACAUUGGGACUGAGACACGGCCCAGACUCCUACGGGAGGCAGCAGUGGGGAAUCUUGCACAAUGGGGGAAACCCUGAUGCAGCGAUGCCGCGUGAGUGAAGAAGGCCUUUGGGUUGUAAAACUCUUUCGUCGGGGAAGAAAAUGACUGUACCCGAAUAAGAAGGUCCGGCUAACUUCGUGCCAGCAGCCGCGGUAAUACGAAGGGACCUAGCGUAGUUCGGAAUUACUGGGCUUAAGGAGCUCGUAGGUGGUUAAAAAAGUUGAUGGUGAAAUCCCAAGGCUCAACCUUGGAACUGCCAUCAAAACUUUUUAGCUAGAGUGUGAUAGAGGUAAGUGGGAAUUUCUAGUGUAGAGGUGAAAUUCGUAGAUAUUAGAAAAGAACACCAAAUGCGGAGGCAACUUACUGGGUCACUACUGACACUGAGGAGCGAAAGCAUGGGUAGCGAAGAGGAUUAGAUACCCUCGUAGUCCAUGCCGUAAACGAUGUGUGCUAGACGUUGGAAAUAUAUUUUUUCAGUGUCGCAGCGAAAGCAUUAAGCACACCGCCUGGGGAGUACGACCGCAAGGUUAAAACUCAAAUGAAUUGACGGGGACCC